UCCGCACUGCGCAUGCGUGAGCGCGAAAAUGUCAGAGGGUGACAUGAUGUCAUGACGCUUGACAUCAUGUUACCUAAACGCCCGCCACCGCGGGUUGUCAGUAGCGGUGGCUGUUCUGCAGAGAGAGCCGGGGGCGGGGCAGUCUGUGGAGGAGGAGACAACAGCAGCGGCGGGGUCUGGCUCAGCAUGUAGCAGAAGGCAGUAAGAGGAAGGAUGUCCUUGCCUCCCUCAAGGAAGUUUCCUGGAGCCCUGCACCGGAGCCCUGACAUUCCCCAGUGGGUCACCCCCACCUUCUAUAUGAAUGGACGCUGUGUUAAUGUUUAUCGUUACCAUCCGUUGCCAUGACCAUAUUCCACAAACAAAAUGUGUUGAAAUCUCCGGAUUCGUCUGUGGAACGUGGUGGAACGCAUUCAUUUCCGCUUCCUGUUACUACCGGAAGUUAUGUAACACACUGAAUACAUCGAACAGCAUGUGGAACGCAUAUACGUAACUUCCGGUUAAUACCGGAAGUGAUGUAGCGCAAUUCUUACUGAACUUUUUUUUAACUGUAUACGACGAUUGGUUCUUUUGAAUACUGGCGCCCUUUUGCUGGCAGGUGGGGGUGUUACCCAUACAUCACUAUGUUAAUGAAUAGUGCUAUAAAUAUAUCAACUGUCUGUAUACCACCAUGCUUCUGAAGAAGGACCUGCUGGUCCGAAACGCGUUAAGCUGGUGGAUUCUUUUAUGCUGAGACUGGACAUUUUCCCCUCCUGGUAACUCUACAGGGACUUUGGCUUGUAUGAAUUUAGGAUCGGCUGGUUCCGCUCUUUUAUCUUCGUAAGAGUCGUCAAUUCCCACAGGAGGUUCUAUGUGCCUUUUAUGCUUGUAUUAAAUGUGAGUGUAUUUGUUAUGAAUAAAUUGAUGUGCUUUUAAGAAA